UUUGAUGAGGAAUGAUGGCAAACACACUUAUAUAAAGAAGACUUCUGAGACAUUGGUGUUUCCUGAUACACCAAGCCCAGCUUAUCUUCCACCUAAGGGUUACCAAUAAAAACUAAACCAAGGCAGACAUGGUCACAGGUGUCUAUAAUCCCAAGACUUGGAAUGUUGAGGUGAUGUGGGGUUUCACCCAGAAGACUGAGAGAAAGCGCUAGAGGAUUGCUGAAGACUUGUCUCUGUCAUGACCUCUGAGGAUAAACCUGGGGACAACCUUUCUGUCACUAAUGAAGCACAGGAGAACAGAAUUGGCCUGAGGCACUACUGUUGGGGAGCCACAUUUAGAGACACUGAUCCCCAACACAUGCCUUUCCAUCACCAUGGAGAUAUAGUGAGCUUCCCAAUAACUGACAUGUGAUUAGUCCCAAUUAGCAUGUGCUUUCUACUGAAGCCAUGUGCAUCUUAACUCUACAUUAAACAUUAGGAUAAGCUGGGCAUGGUAGCAUACACCUUUAAUCCCAGCACUCUGGAGGCAGAGGCAGGCAGAUUUCUGAGUUCGAGGCUAGCCUGGUCUA
rnacentral:lncRNA from 1 species